rnacentral:other from 1 species
AAAUCCCUGCUGUGCGCGUUAGGCGUAAAUAAAAAGAACCAACACUUUUUAUAAGGAUGGCCGGACUUCCGCGGCGCCCUUGGGUUCCCGGAGAGGCCUCCACUUGGUGAACAGGUUCACCUUUUUUACCCGACGGCAUUUGCGGGGAUUUU